rfam:Picea glauca, whole genome shotgun sequence.
ACAUGCCUACAUCAUAGCAUUAGUGCACCGAAUCCCUUUAUAACUCUAUAGUUGAGCACGCUCAGGCUAGAGUAGUACUGGGAUAGGUGACCACCUAGGAAUUCAUAGUGUUUUACAUGCC